rnacentral:rRNA from 1 species
GGAAUAUUGGACAAUGGGGGCAACCCUGAUCCAGCCAUGCCGCGUGAGUGAUGAAGGCCCUAGGGUUGUAAAACUCUUUCGGCGGGGACGAUAAUGACGGUACCCGCAGAAGAAGCUCCGGCUAACUACGUGCCAGCAGCCGCGGUAAUACGUAGGGUGCAAGCGUUAAUCGGAAUUACUGGGCGUAAAGCGUACGCAGGCGGCUUUGCAAGACAGGUGUGAAAUCCCCGGGCCUAACCUGGGAACUGCAUUUGUGACUGCAUGGCUAGAGUCUGUCAGAGGGGGGUGGAAUUCCACGUGUAGCAGUGAAAUGCGUAGAGAUGUGGAAGAACACCGAUGGCGAAGGCAGCCCCCUGGGAUAAGACUGACGCUCAUGUACGAAAGCGUGGGGAGCAAA